rnacentral:rRNA from 1 species
AGAGUUUGAUCCUGGCUCAGGAUGAACGCUGGCGGCGUGCCUAAUACAUGCAAGUCGAGCGAACCACUUCGGUGGUGAGCGGCGAACGGGUGAGUAACACGUAGGUUAUCUGCCCAUCAGACGGGGACAACGAUUGGAAACGAUCGCUAAUACCGGAUAGGACGAAAGUUUAAAGGUGCUUCGGCACCACUGAUGGAUGAGCCUGCGGCGCAUUAGCUAGUUGGUAGGGUAAAGGCCUACCAAGGCGACGAUGCGUAGCCGACCUGAGAGGGUGAACGGCCACACUGGGACUGAGACACGGCCCAGACUCCUACGGGAGGCAGCAGUAGGGAAUCUUCGGCAAUGGGGGCAACCCUGACCGAGCAACGCCGCGUGAGUGAAGAAGGUUUUCGGAUCGUAAAGCUCUGUUGUAAGUCAAGAACGGGUGUGAGAGUGGAAAGUUCACACUGUGACGGUAGCUUACCAGAAAGGGACGGCUAACUACGUGCCAGCAGCCGCGGUAAUACGUAGGUCCCGAGCGUUGUCCGGAUUUAUUGGGCGUAAAGCGAGCGCAGGCGGUUUGAUAAGUCUGAAGUUAAAGGCUGUGGCUCAACCAUAGUUCGCUUUGGAAACUGUCAAACUUGAGUGCAGAAGGGGAGAGUGGAAUUCCAUGUGUAGCGGUGAAAUGCGUAGAUAUAUGGAGGAACACCGGUGGCGAAAGCGGCUCUCUGGUCUGUAACUGACGCUGAGGCUCGAAAGCGUGGGGAGCGAACAGGAUUAGAUACCCUGGUAGUCCACGCCGUAAACGAUGAGUGCUAGGUGUUGGAUCCUUUCCGGGAUUCAGUGCCGCAGCUAACGCAUUAAGCACUCCGCCUGGGGAGUACGACCGCAAGGUUGAAACUCAAAGGAAUUGACGGGGGCCCGCAC